rnacentral:tRNA from 1 species
ACUUAUAUAGUUUAUAAAAAAUAUAGAAAUGUGGUUUCUAAGAAGAUUAUUUUAUAAGUU